rnacentral:rRNA from 1 species
UACGUAGGUGGCAAGCGUUGUCCGGAUUUACUGGGCGUAAAGAGCGCGCAGGCGGUCGAAUAAGUCGAAUGUGAAAGCCCCCGGCUUAACUGGGGAGGGUCAUUCGAUACUGCUCGACUUGAGGGCAGGAGAGGGUAGUGGAAUUCCCGGUGUAGUGGUGAAAUGCGUAGAUAUCGGGAGGAACACCAGUGGCGAAGGCGACUACCUGGCCUGUUCUUGACGCUGAGGCGCGAAAGCUGGGGGAGCAAACGGG